rnacentral:lncRNA from 1 species
GAAUUUCUAGAUGAAGAUGAAAAUAUUUAUAGUCAUAAUUAAUUUGUAAAAUUAGAGAGAGAUGCCCCACUCGUUUAGGGGAGUUGGUGUAAAGAAUUUGGAUGCCAUCCCACACAAUGUUAUUAAAUGGUAAAACAAACCAUCAAUUUUAGUUCUUAAUUUAGUAAUGAUUUAAUUUUGUGUAUAACAUACCCAACUACCAUCUAUUAAGCAAAUAUAUUGGGACAAUUAAUAAUUAUGUAUGAGCAAAACAAUUACCCACAAAACCUACUCAUUCCUCCUUUUAAGCUUUUAUAGAUAUAUACACACACACACACACACACAUAUUAAAACCCAUUGCUACAACAAAUUCAAAAUUGGGUGGGAGAAAUUAAAGGGUAAAAAUAUAUUUUUUUCUUUGUUUUUUCUUAUUAAAAAUCUCAAACGAACCAACGUAUACAAAAAAUUCCUUCAAAAUCAAAUUCUUACAACUUGCACCUACAACGCUCUUACGGGAUAAUUUCUCUCAAAUUGCAAUCGUACUCGAUUAGUAUAAAUAUUUAAUUUUGGGUAUUUGCUUUCGAAGGGAAAUGAACGUAAAGAAAAAGUGUAUCUAUGCAUUUACAUACACAUGUGUAUAGGGUGGGAGCAAGAGAUGUCAAAAAUAUAUUUAUAUACAAUUCAAAAGAUUCAAAUGAGUUUGAUGGUUGCUUAUUCAUUGUGCUUUCUCCAUCUUCAUAAAUUAAUCUAAUCGACACACACGAUUAAUCUUCAAUAACACAACAACAAAAGAUUAUCUUAUCUUGUGUCCAUUAUGGUGCCAAGAGGGAAGAAAUUCCAAAUUUGACAAUUGCCGAGAAGAACAUGCAAAAUAUUCACAAAGCACAAGCCAUCAAGGAAUAAUACACAAGCCAUCAAAUAACUUGAACAAAAAUCCAAUGUGGUCUCAUACACCUUAAGCUACUAAAAAUAUUCCCCACUCAAUAUAUUUAUAUGGGUAUGAUGCCAUUAUUAGAGGUUUUUAGCCGUUGGAUUAUCAAUUAAUGGAAUCUCUAAUUCAUUUUUAACAAAUAAAAAAUUGGGUAUUUAUUUUGGGAGGGAGGGGGGUGUAUAGACAUGACAUAGUGAUGAGAUAGGGGAGUGUUGCAAGUCAUGUCACUAAUAGCAAGAAAAGCAUCUAAUCUAUAUUCUUUUGGUUUUAUACAAGCCGAUGGGCCAAUUAAUAGAAAAAUUUAGAGAAGCAACUAAUUCUAAUUACCAUUACCUUUAUAUACAUUAUGAAAUCAUUAUAUCAAUCUAUAUUUUUUUUAAUUGUGUAUUUAUAUAUUUUAUUAAUUAAAUAAAUAUAAAAAAUUUAUAAUUUAAUUUCGAAUUUAUAAUCUCUUAUAUAAAAAUGAAAAUACCCAUUAUUUUUAAUAAUAAUUGUAUUAGUAUAUUAAUAUUUUGAUCACGUGGGUAUUUUUGAUUAUUUUUUUUAUGGAUUUGUUUAAUUUUUAAUUUUUUUUUAAAAAAAGAAACUUAAUGUUAAAAAAAUCUUUUUAGUUGUAAAAAUCGGUUAGGCGAAAUUCACGGAUAUUUUGUUCCCUUCUUUAAUGUUAUUGUGUUUGAAGAUGACAUAAAGGCAAGAUUAUGAUAUAGUUGAGACUUGAGGAGGAGGAGGAGGAGGAGGAGGAGGAGUAGGAAGUAUAAUAUGCAUAUCAAAAUACUUGAAAGGAAGAAAGAGAGAAGUGAAGGUGACCUUUGCCUAACAAUGUUUUUCUUCCCACAUAAUAUUAUUCUUCCUUGUGGAGUUACAAUUUUGCAAAAUCAAUAUAUACCCAUAUAUAUAUAUAUAUACACACAUACAUAUAUGUAUAUAUACAGUGAAGAGAUUGUACGUACACAUAUGGAGAGGAUAUUGCAGAAGGAAUACGUCUCUUUUGCUGACCUUUUCCACUUUGGCUUUUUCUUCCUUCUUUUCCUUACCAACUUGCUAAUCACUAAGCUUAUAUAAUAUCAUGCACCAAUGACUUCCAUUUGCAAACCCAUUUGAAAAUACCCUUUUUUUUUUCAUUUUUAUUAUAAUCCAAUCUUCACACCCUCAUAUAAAUUCACAUGUUUUUCUUCUUUUUUUUUUUAUUUUUUUUCUACAAAAAUUUAAGAU